AGUAGGAUAGAUGAUCGCUGCCAUGCAGACGAAAGGGCAUGGGAGAGGAAAGUCCGGGCUUCACAGGGCAGGAUGCCAGAUAACGUCUGGCGGAGGCAACUCCCGAGACAGUGCAACAGAGAUAUACCGCGUUAGCAAUGAGGCGGGCCGGCUAUGGAAUGAUUGUCGGAUGCAUGCUUGCAUGCAAGACGACAUAUCAUGACAUAGACAUACGGCGAAUGCCGUGUAACGAGGAAAGCUUGCUUUCCGAGUGACCGCCCCACUGAUCCGUAAGGGUGGAAAGGCAGUGUAAGAGACUACCGUGCCGGUGGUAACACCGGUAGCCAUGUAAACCUCAUCCGAAGCAAGACCGAAAAGAAAGCCAUGAACCGGCCCGGUUCGCUUUCAGGUGGGUCGCUUGAGGCUGUCGGCGACGACAGUCCUAGAUAGAUGAUCAUCCACGACAUAACCCGGCUUACAGUCCUACUCCU
rnacentral:RNase_P_RNA from 1 species